CCUACGGGAGGCAGCAGUGGGGAAUAUUGGGCAAUGGGCGAAAGCCUGACCCAGCAACGCCGCGUGAAGGAAGAAGGAUUUCGGGUUGUAAACUUCUAUCCUCAGGGACGAAGCAAGCGAUGGUACCUGAGGAAUCAGCGACUGACAACUUGGUGCCAGCAGCCGCGGUAAUACGUAGGGGGCAAGCGUCAUCCGGUUGUACGGGGUGUAAAGGGGGCGCAGGCGGCGAUGCAAGUCAGAAGUGAAAGCCCGGGGCCCAACCCCGGGACUGCUCGUGAAACUGCAUGGCUGGAGUACAGGAGGGGCAGGUGGAAUUCCUAGUGUAGCGGUGAAAUGCGUAGAUAUUAGGAGGAACACCGGUGGCGAAGGCGGCCUGCUGGACUUUGACUGACGUUGAGGCUCGAAGGCGUGGGGAGCAAACAGGAUUAGAUACCCUUGUAGUC
rnacentral:rRNA from 1 species